rnacentral:lncRNA from 1 species
GGAGCAGGUGGAGUGGUGGCGCUGGAUAGCGGUGUACACUUAAAGCGUUCUGGGAAUAUGAAUCCCUUCUGCACCCUGGAAUCACCAGUCCAGCCAUGCAUGGAGCUGGGGAAAGCAGGCCCUGAAUUGUCUAGAGAGACUUGGUGGAGGAGGCCACGGCCCGCCUUGUCCCUGCCGGGUCCCGGCCAGGUGUGUGUGUGCCCCAGCUCGACUCUCGGUGGUCUCCAGGCUGCAGCAGAAGGAAUACCUUGGAACAACUGGAUGUUGUAAAUGUUUCUCAUCUGGCCUUAAAAUCCAUGAAAGCUGGAAAAUCACAAGGCAUCUGUGCAUAUACUGGUGGAUUUUAAUGAGAGUCCUGUGUUUGGAGCACCAGAAAUAAACCAGCUUCAGAAGCAAA